rnacentral:rRNA from 1 species
CNANGANCCUGCUCAUGAAUAUUAAAUAGCCGCAGAAUUUCUGUGCUAAGGUAGCAUAAUCAUUUGUUUUUUAAUUUAAAACUAGAAUGAAAGGUUUAACGUUUUAAUUAUUUUAUUAAUAUCCAUAUUAUAUUUAAUUUAUACUAAAUAUUAUAAUAUAUUUAUAAAAAAAAAAGACGACAAGACCCUAUUGAAUUUUACCAUUUGUUUAGCUGGGGCAGCUUUAUAAUUAUAAAUUUAAAUUGAUUUAUAUUACAAAAAUACUUCCAAUAACAUUGAUUAUAUAAACAAAUUACCAUAGGGAUAACAGCGUAAUAUUGAUUUGAAGUUCUUAUUUAAAUUAUUACUUGCGACCUCGAUGUUGAAUUAUUAUAUCUUUAUUUAACGCAAUAGUUAUAAAAGUAGGUCUGUUCGACCUUUAAUAUUUUACAUGAUCUGAGUCAAAACCCGGGAGGA